UCCAAUGAGUGAGAAGGGAAAAAGACAUAGAAGUGGGAGACACCUGGAAAGUUUUCAGGGGCCAGGCCUGGGAGGGGAUGCACGUCACUUUCUUUCACGUUCCAUGAUCCAGAACCCAGUUUUAUGACCACAUCUGACUUGCAAGGGGUCUGGGAGAUAUAGCCUCUUGGGUUAUGGGAGCAUUGUGGAUUCUUGCUGUGGUUCAAUUUUGCCACCUGGAAAGUAGAGAUGCAGUUCACAAGUUUGCGAAUUAUCCUUCCCUGCCUACAACCCUUGGGUGUGGCUGUAUAUGCCUUCAUAUCGCACAUGUGGCAUCAGAUAAGCCAGGCAGAAAAUCUGCUCUAAGAACAGUUUUGCAACUGUUGGCUCCCGUCAAGUAAGACUACGAGAAAAAAGGUGACUAAUUCUGCAACUCGCAGAGAAGAUUCUGGACAAAGACACAAGACUAGUAGCAUUGUCUUAUUUAUUUAUGUAAUUCAAACAUUUUGCUGAUAAAACUUUUGUCCAUGACUAUCCUAGCAACAAAAUUUUACUCAAAAUAUUUCACUAUGAAAUGGUGUUGCAACUUCAGUGUAGUUUUUAUGAAUGGAGUGAUUUUCAUAAAGCAAAUCUUACUCUUAAAAUGGCAGAUUCAGUGACCAAAAGUGAUUAAAAAAAAAAAAAAAGCUUCCCCCUCCCCAUGCUAAUCCAUGAGACCAUUUGGAUCAAACUGAGUUUUGGAUCUGGGCUAGACAAGGGAAAGAGAGUAGCUCAUUCCUAAGUACCCGGAACAGGCGAAUAGGACACCCCAAACUGACACAACCAAGAAAGGCCGUGAAGAAUUACGUUCACCCAGCAGCUCUAGGAAGGUGUAGACUGGAUGAAUCUGACCGAAAGCGUGUGCUCCUUUACCACAGUGCUAUUCCUCGGGUGUCCUAAUUGCAGGAGCUACAAAAUCAGUCCCUGUUUCUAUCCUCCCCCAUCUCACCUGUCGGCCUUCCUGCAGUAGCCUUGGGAGAGAUCCUGAGCUUUUCGUAGUCUAUGGAUUUAGUUUUGCGUCACUCUUUUGAUGAAUGGAAUAUAAU